AACUGUAGCCGCACGUGGGCUCGGCGCGAUGGAGGAGGAGAUGCAUACUGACGCCAAAAUCCGCGCUGAAAGUGGAACAGGGUCCAGCCCUCGGGGUCCUGGCUGCAGCCUCCGGCACUUUGCCUGCGAACAGAACCUGCUGUCGCGGCCAGAUGGCUCUGCUUCCUUCCUGCAAGGUGACACCUCUGUCCUGGCGGGUGUGUACGGGCCGGCCGAGGUGAAGGUCAGCAAAGAGAUUUUCAACAAGGCCACACUCGAAGUGAUCCUGAGGCCGAAGAUCGGGCUGCCUGGUGUUGCAGAGAAGAGCCGGGAGCGGCUGAUCAGGAACACGUGCGAGGCGGUGGUGCUGGGCACGUUGCACCCCCGCACCUCCAUCACCGUGGUGCUGCAGGUUGUCAGCGAUGCCGGCUCUGUAUCCUUUCUCCCAGGCCUCCUCCUCCAGGAAGUCUCCUGAUUGCUUCCCUUCUGGUGGAUACAUAUACCCUCACUGCUAGCCAGAAAGCCUUCAAACACUUGACAGGUACCAGCUCACUGAAGAAGGAGAGCAAACAGCCUGGGUGCUUACUUAUGUGCCAGGCACUGUUCUGUGUGCCUUAUGCACAUUAACUCAUGUAAUACAGCACAUGCCCUUAUGAUCCCCGUGGAAGUGGCAGAGCCAAGACUUAGACCCAGACCGUCUAGUUCUAGAGCCCACGGACCCUGGCAGAUGAGUGUUC
rnacentral:sRNA from 1 species